GGUUAAGCGACUAAGCGUACACGGUGGAUGCCCUGGCAGUCAGAGGCGAUGAAGGACGUGCUAAUCUGCGAUAAGCGUCGGUAAGGUGAUAUGAACCGUUAUAACCGGCGAUUUCCGAAUGGGGAAACCCAGUGUGAUUCGUCACACUAUCAUUAACUGAAUCCAUAGGUUAAUGAGGCGAACCGGGGGAACUGAAACAUCUAAGUACCCCGAGGAAAAGAAAUCAACCGAGAUUCCCCCAGUAGCGGCGAGCGAACGGGGAGGAGCCCAGAGCCUGAAUCAGUGUGUGUGUUAGUGGAAGCGUCUGGAAAGGCGCGCGAUACAGGGUGACAGCCCCGUACACAAAAAUGCACAUACUGUGAGCUCGAUGAGUAGGGCGGGACACGUGGUAUCCUGUCUGAAUAUGGGGGGACCAUCCUCCAAGGCUAAAUACUCCUGACUGACCGAUAGUGAACCAGUACCGUGAGGGAAAGGCGAAAAGAACCCCGGCGAGGGGAGUGAAAAAGAACCUGAAACCGUGUACGUACAAGCAGUGGGAGCCUCUUUUAUGGGGUGACUGCGUACCUUUUGUAUAAUGGGUCAGCGACUUAUAUUCUGUAGCAAGGUUAACCGAAUAGGGGAGCCGAAGGGAAACCGAGUCUUAACUGGGCGUUAAGUUGCAGGGUAUAGACCCGAAACCCGGUGAUCUAGCCAUGGGCAGGUUGAAGGUUGGGUAACACUAACUGGAGGACCGAACCGACUAAUGUUGAAAAAUUAGCGGAUGACUUGUGGCUGGGGGUGAAAGGCCAAUCAAACCGGGAGAUAGCUGGUUCUCCCCGAAAGCUAUUUAGGUAGCGCCUCGUGAAUUCAUCUCCGGGGGUAGAGCACUGUUUCGGCAAGGGGGUCAUCCCGACUUACCAACCCGAUGCAAACUGCGAAUACCGGAGAAUGUUAUCACGGGAGACACACGGCGGGUGCUAACGUCCGUCGUGAAGAGGGAAACAACCCAGACCGCCAGCUAAGGUCCCAAAGUCAUGGUUAAGUGGGAAACGAUGUGGGAAGGCCCAGACAGCCAGGAUGUUGGCUUAGAAGCAGCCAUCAUUUAAAGAAAGCGUAAUAGCUCACUGGUCGAGUCGGCCUGCGCGGAAGAUGUAACGGGGCUAAACCAUGCACCGAAGCUGCGGCAGCGACGCUUAUGCGUUGUUGGGUAGGGGAGCGUUCUGUAAGCCUGUGAAGGUGUACUGUGAGGUAUGCUGGAGGUAUCAGAAGUGCGAAUGCUGACAUAAGUAACGAUAAAGCGGGUGAAAAGCCCGCUCGCCGGAAGACCAAGGGUUCCUGUCCAACGUUAAUCGGGGCAGGGUGAGUCGACCCCUAAGGCGAGGCCGAAAGGCGUAGUCGAUGGGAAACAGGUUAAUAUUCCUGUACUUGGUGUUACUGCGAAGGGGGGACGGAGAAGGCUAUGUUGGCCGGGCGACGGUUGUCCCGGUUUAAGCGUGUAGGCUGGUUUUCCAGGCAAAUCCGGAAAAUCAAGGCUGAGGCGUGAUGACGAGGCACUACGGUGCUGAAGCAACAAAUGCCCUGCUUCCAGGAAAAGCCUCUAAGCAUCAGGUAACAUCAAAUCGUACCCCAAACCGACACAGGUGGUCAGGUAGAGAAUACCAAGGCGCUUGAGAGAACUCGGGUGAAGGAACUAGGCAAAAUGGUGCCGUAACUUCGGGAGAAGGCACGCUGAUAUGUAGGUGAAGCGACUUGCUCGUGGAGCUGAAAUCAGUCGAAGAUACCAGCUGGCUGCAACUGUUUAUUAAAAACACAGCACUGUGCAAACACGAAAGUGGACGUAUACGGUGUGACGCCUGCCCGGUGCCGGAAGGUUAAUUGAUGGGGUUAGCGGUAACGCGAAGCUCUUGAUCGAAGCCCCGGUAAACGGCGGCCGUAACUAUAACGGUCCUAAGGUAGCGAAAUUCCUUGUCGGGUAAGUUCCGACCUGCACGAAUGGCGUAAUGAUGGCCAGGCUGUCUCCACCCGAGACUCAGUGAAAUUGAACUCGCUGUGAAGAUGCAGUGUACCCGCGGCAAGACGGAAAGACCCCGUGAACCUUUACUAUAGCUUGACACUGAACAUUGAGCCUUGAUGUGUAGGAUAGGUGGGAGGCUUUGAAGUGUGGACGCCAGUCUGCAUGGAGCCGGCCUUGAAAUACCACCCUUUAAUGUUUGAUGUUCUAACGUUGGCCCCUGA
rnacentral:rRNA from 1 species